AUUGAACGCUAGCGGGAUGCCUUACACAUGCAAGUCGAACGGAGUGGCGAACGGGUGAGUAAUGUCUCGGAACGUGCCCAGUAGUGGGGGAUAACUACGCGAAAGCGUAGCUAAUACCGCAUACUAUUGGAGCGGCCGAUAUCGGAUUAGCUAGUUGGUGGGGUAACGGCUCACCAAGGCGACGAUCCGUAGCUGGUUUGAGAGGACGAUCAGCCACACUGGGACUGAGACACGGCCCAGACUCCUACGGGAGGCAGCAGUGGGGAAUUUUGGACAAUGGGGGAAACCCUGACCCAGCCAUGCCGCGUGGGCGAAGAAGGUCUUCGGAUUGUAAAGCACUGUUGGCAGGAAAGCGGUACCUACAGAAGAAGCACCGGCUAACUCCGUGCCAGCCGCCGCGGUAAUAC
rnacentral:rRNA from 1 species